rnacentral:rRNA from 1 species
GAUGAACGCUGGCGGCGUGCCUAAUACAUGCAAGUCGAGCGAACGGACGAGAAGCUUGCUUCUCUGAUGUUAGCGGCGGACGGGUGAGUAACACGUGGCUAACCUACCUAUAAGACUGGGAUAACUUCGGGAAACCGGAGCUAAUACCGGAUAAUAUUUUGAACCGCAUGGUUCAAAAGUGAAAGACGGUCUUGCUGUCACUUAUAGAUGGAUCCGCGCUGCAUUAGCUAGUUGGUAAGGUAACGGCUUACCAAGGCAACGAUGCAUAGCCGACCUGAGAGGGUGAUCGGCCACACUGGAACUGAGACACGGUCCAGACUCCUACGGGAGGCAGCAGUAGGGAAUCUUCCGCAAUGGGCGAAAGCCUGACGGAGCAACGCCGCGUGAGUGAUGAAGGUCUUCGGAUCGUAAAACUCUGCUAUUAGGGAAGAACAUAUGUGUAAGUAACUGUGCACAUCUUGACGGUACCUAAUCAGAAAGCCACGGCUAACUACGUG